AACGAACGUUAGCGGCGCGCCUAACACAUGCAAGUCGCACGAGAAAGGGCUUCGGCCCCGGUAAAGUGGCGCACGGGUGAGUAACACGUGGGUAACCUGCCCUCGAGCGGGGGAUAACAUUCCGAAAGGAGUGCUAAUACCGCAUAAGACCACGAUCUCGAAAGAGGACGAGGUAAAAGCUGGCCUCUGUAUACAAGCUAGCACUUGAGGAUGGGCCCGCGGCGCAUCAGGUAGUUGGUGAGGUAACGGCUCACCAAGCCGAAGACGCGUAGCUGGUAUGAGAGGAUGAUCAGCCACACUGGAACUGAGACACGGUCCAGACUCCUACGGGAGGCAGCAGUGGGGAAUCUUGCGCAAUGGGCGAAAGCCUGACGCAGCGACGCCGCGUGAGUGAUGAAGGCCUUCGGGUUGUAAAGCUCUGUGGGGCGAGACGAAUAAGUGCAGCCUAAUACGCUGCAUGAUGACGGUAACGCCUUAGCAAGCACCGGCUAACUCUGUGCCAGCCGCCGCAGUAAUAC
rnacentral:rRNA from 1 species